rnacentral:rRNA from 1 species
GACGAACGCUGGCGGCGUGCUUAACACAUGCAAGUCGAACGGAAAGGCCCUGCUUUUGUGGGGUGCUCGAGUGGCGAACGGGUGAGUAACACGUGAGUAACCUGCCCUUGACUUUGGGAUAACUUCAGGAAACUGGGGCUAAUACCGGAUAGGAGCUCCUGCUGCAUGGUGGGGGUUGGAAAGUUUCGGCGGUUGGGGAUGGACUCGCGGCCUAUCAGCUUGUUGGUGGGGUAGUGGCUUACCAAGGCUUUGACGGGUAGCCGGCCUGAGAGGGUGACCGGCGACAAUGGGACUGAGAUACGGCGCAGAAUCCUACGGGAGGCAGCAGUGGGGAAUAUUGCACAGUGGGCGGACGCCUGAUGCAGCAACGCUGCGUGCGGGAUGACGGCCUUCGGGUUGUAAACCGCUUUCGCCUGUGACGAAGCGGGAGUGACGGUAAUGGGUAAAGAAGCACCGGCUAACUACGUG